rnacentral:rRNA from 1 species
UAGGGAAUCUUCCACAAUGGGCGCAAGCCUGAUGGAGCAACGCCGCGUGAGUGAAGAAGGUCUUCGGAUCGUAAAACUCUGUUGUCAGAGAAGAACAUGCAGGAGAGUAACUGUUCUUGUAUUGACGGUAUCUAACCAGAAAGCCACGGCUAACUACGUGCCAG